rnacentral:rRNA from 1 species
AUGUUUCCAGCUGGCCAGAUUCCUACAUGGAAGGAUUUCACCGAGGCUUUUCGUGAGCACCACAUUCCUCAGGCUCUCAUUGACCGCAAGAGGGAAGAGUUCUGUAGUUUUACCCAGGGUAAGCUGCCUGUUGAUGCUAACAGUAGAGAGUUUGGAAACCUCGCCCGCUAUGCUACAGAAGAAGUGUCCACGGAUGCUAAGAAGCAGGCUAGGUUCCGGAAGGGUCUCAACCCUAAGUUGCGUCGUGAUCUCCACCUGCAUCAUUGUGAUACUUUCCAGGCUCUUGUGAACAAGGCCAUUAAUGCAGAGACAGCUCAGCUCACUUACGAGGAGUCUCGAAAGCACAACCGUGAUCUGGGUUCUGCCUCCCGCUCUAGCUCUCAAAAGCGACGGAUUUGGAUUCUGAACUCGGCUCUUCCACCUGGAUAUGCACCAAGGCCAUCCUAUGUGGCGCCUCACCCAACUCAGCAACGUGCUCCACCCAGGCCUAUUAGUGGACCACUUGCCAGUGUAGGUCCACAUCCUACCUCAAGAACUUGCUUCACCUGCGGAGAACCAGGACACUACGCACAUGACUGCCCUCAGUCCAGUUAUACUCCACCCCAGUCUGAGAGGUCUGUUGGCCGUGAAAAGCCAUCAGGCAAGAUGAUCAGUACCAAGCCAGCCUCCAUUGAACGAGCAUGUGUGCACCAUGUCUCAGCUACAGAAGUUCAAGAUGACCCCGAUGUCGUACUGGGUACACUUCUUGUCAAUUGUCACCCAGCUUCAGUUCUGUUCGAUAGUGGAGCAUCCCACUCCUUCAUAUCCGAAGGAUAUGCUCGGUUGCACGACAUGUCAUUUUGUGAUAUGCCAACUCCACUAAUAGUCCAGACUCCCGGUUCCAAAUGGCAAACCUCCAAGGUAAGCCAUGGUAAUGAAAUCUUUGUUGACAGACUGGUAUUCCUUGCUUCUUUGAUAUCUCUCAAGUCUUUAGAUAUUAACAUCAUCUUGGGUAUGGACUGGAUAACAGCUCAUCAUGCCAAGAUCGAUUGUUACACCAGAUCUGUUCAACUUACACAUUUAUCUGGCAAAAUAGUCACUGUCUCCACUAGAGUUGCAAGGCGUCAACUCUAUUCUCUUAAUGCCAUCCCUCUUCCAGAUCUUGAACAUAUUCCGGUAGUCCGUGACUUCCCGGAUGUUUUUCCAGAAGAACUGCCGGGUGUCCCACCUGACAGAGAUGUAGAGUUUGUCAUAGAACUUAUCCCAGGAACUGUUCCAAUCUCUAGGAGACCAUACAAGAUGGCACCUUGGAGUUAG